rnacentral:rRNA from 1 species
UACGUAGGGGGCAAGCGUUGUCCGGAAUUAUUGGGCGUAAAGAGCUUGUAGGCGGUUUGUCGCGUCUGCUGUGAAAAUCCGGGGCUCAACCCCGGACUUGCAGUGGGUACGGGCAGACUAGAGUGUGGUAGGGGAGACUGGAAUUCCUGGUGUAGCGGUGAAAUGCGCAGAUAUCGAGGAGGAACGAGCCGGUGGCGAAGGCGGGUCUCUGGGCGAGUAACUGA